rnacentral:rRNA from 1 species
CGCAUCUGUGCAUGCAGCAUAUCAAUAAGCGGAGGAAAAGAAACUAACAAGGAUUCCCCUAGUAACGGCGAGUGAAGCGGGAAGAGCUCAAAUUUGAAAUCUUAAAGGGUUUCCCUUUACGAAUUGUAGUUUAAAGAAGUGUCUUCUGUUGAGGUUUUGGUAAAAGUUCUUUGGAAUAGGACAUCAUAGAGGGUGAGAAUCCCGUAUUUGACCUUUACUUUCAACUUUGUGAUACACUUUCAAAGAGUCGGAUUGUUUGGGAAUGCAGUCCAAAAUGGGUGGUAAAUUUCAUCUAAAGCUAAAUAUUGGCGAGAGACCGAUAGCGAACAAGUACCGUGAGGGAAAGAUGAAAAGAACUUUGAAAAGAGGAGUUAAGCAGUACGUGAAAUUGUCAAAAGGGAAGCGUUUGACACCAGUGUUGUUUUUCUGAAAAUCAAUUAAAGAACUGUUUAUGCUAAGUUGUUUAGACUUUAUCAGCUAACUGUUUAGUUUUGAGCUUUUCUUUAAUGCACUUUUCAGUUAACAAGUCAACAUCAAUUUCUUUUGCUGUAAAAAAGCUUGAGGAAGGUGGCUUGAGAUUCGUCUUAAGUGUUUAUAGCCUCUUGCCUAUGCAGUCGGAGAGAUUGAGGUCUGCAGCGUAGAUCCUUCGGGGCUAAAUGCAUUUGUGCUAAGUUAUAACAUUUUAUAGACAACUUGUUGACUAUGAUUCGUCUUGUAGCUUACUCGCUUAUGUUAUUUUACCUACGCUUAGGAUGUUGACAGCAGUAUAGACUGU